rnacentral:rRNA from 1 species
GCGGCGGACGGGUGAGUAACACGUGGGCAACCUGCCCUGCAGACUGGGAUAACUUCGGGAAACCGGAGCUAAUACCGGAUAACACCGAAAACCGCAUGGUUUUCGGUUGAAAGGCGGCUUUUAUCUGUCACUGCAGGAUGGGCCCGCGGCGCAUUAUCUAGUUGGUGAGGUAACGGCUCACCAAGGCGACGAUGCGUAGCCGACCUGAGAGGGUGACCGGCCACACUGGGACUGAGACACGGCCCAGACUCCUACGGGAGGCAGCAGUAGGGAAUCUUCCGCAAUGGACGAAAGUCUGACGGAGCAACGCCGCGUGAGCGAAGAAGGUCUUCGGAUCGUAAAGCUCUGUUGUCAGGGAAGAACAAGUGCCGUUCGAACAGGGCGGUACCUUGACGGUACCUGACGAGGAAGCCACGGCUAACUACGUGCCAGCAGCCGCGGUAAUAC